rfam:Bombyx mori DNA, contig: Bm_scaf10_contig8646, strain: p50T/Dazao, build 2, whole genome shotgun sequence.
UUAGCUCAUAUUUGUAUGGAGUGGGAUCGUUUGCGUACGUUUGCCGCUAGGGGCGCUGUUCCAACUGCAUACAAAAUUGGGUUA